rnacentral:rRNA from 1 species
UUGAUCCUUCGGGUGAUACAUUAGUGAAUGAGUGGCGGACGGGUGAGUAACGCGUGGGUAACUUGCCCUGUACAGGGGGAUAACAGUCAGAAAUGACUGCUAAUACCGCAUAAGCGCACGAAAGGACAUCCUUUAGUGUGAAAAACUCCGGUGGUACAGGAUGGGCCCGCGUCUGAUUAGCUAGUUGGCGGGGUAAUGGCCCACCAAGGCGACGAUCAGUAGCCGGUCUGAGAGGAUGAACGGCCACAUUGGAACUGAGACACGGUCCAAACUCCUACGGGAGGCAGCAGUGGGGAAUAUUGCACAAUGGGGGGAACCCUGAUGCAGCAACGCCGCGUGAGUGAAGAAGUAUUUCGGUAUGUAAAGCUCUAUCAGCAGGGAAGAUAAUGACGGUACCUGACUAAGAAGCUCCGGCUAAAUACGUGCCAGCAGCCGCGGUAAUACGUAUGGAGCAAGCGUUAUCCGGAUUUACUGGGUGUAAAGGGUGCGUAGGUGGCGAGGCAAGUCAGAUGUGAAAUACCGGGGCUCAACCCCGGGGCUGCAUUUGAAACUGUCUUGCUGGAGUACAGGAGAGGCAGGCGGAAUUCCUAGUGUAGCGGUGAAAUGGGUAGAUAUUAGGAGGAACACCAGUGGCGAAGGC